rnacentral:tRNA from 2 species
GGGACUGUAGCUCAACUGGAUAGAGCAGGUGACUUCUAAUCAUCAGGUUGUGGGUUCAAUUCCCGCCAGUCCCGCCA